rnacentral:rRNA from 1 species
GACGUAGGGCGCGAGCGUUGUCCGGAAUUAUUGGGCGUAAAGAGCUUGUAGGCGGUUUGUCGCGUCUGCUGUGAAAUUUCGGGGCUCAACCCCGAACUUGCAGUGGGUACGGGCAGACUAGAGUGUGGUAGGGGAGACUGGAAUUCCUGGUGUAGCGGUGAAAUGCGCAGAUAUCAGGAGGAACACCGAUGGCGAAGGCAGGUCUCUGGGCCAUAACUGACGCUGAGAAGCGAAAGCAUGGGGAGCGAACAGG